rnacentral:rRNA from 1 species
GACGAACGCUGGCGGCGUGCUUAACACAUGCAAGUCGAACGGAAAGGCCCCUUUGGGGGUGCUCGAGUGGCGAACGGGUGAGUAACACGUGAGUAACCUGCCCUUGACUUCGGGAUAACUUCAGGAAACUGGGGCUAAUACCGGAUAGGAAUCCUUGCUGCAUGGUGGGGGUUGGAAAGCUUCGGCGGUUUUGGAUGGACUCGCGGCUUAUCAGCUUGUUGGUGGGGUAGUGGCUUACCAAGGCUUUGACGGGUAGCCGGCCUGAGAGGGCGACCGGCCACAGUGGGACUGAGAUACGGCCCAGACUCCGACGGGAGGCAGCAGUGGGGAAUAUUGAACAAGGGGCGGAAGCCUGAUGCAGCAACGCCGCGGGCGGGAGGACGGCCUUCGGGUUGUAAACCGCUUUCAGCAGGGGCGAAGCUUGUGGUGACGGUACCUGCAGAAGAAGCACCGGCUAACUACGUG